UCCUACGGGUGGCAGCAGUGGGGAAUAUUGCGCAAUGGGGGAAACCCUGACGCAGCAACGCCGCGUGAGGGAUGAAGGUCUUCGGAUUGUAAACCUCUUUCAGUAGGGAAGAAGCGAAAGUGACGGUACCUAAAGAAGAAGCACCGGCUAACUAUGUGCCAGCAGCCGCGGUAAUACAUAGGGUGCAAGCGUUGUCCGGAAUUAUUGGGCGUAAAGAGCUCGUAGGUCGUUUGUCGCGUCGAUUGUGAAAAUCUGAGGCUCAACCUCAGACCUGCAGUCGAUACGGGCAAACUAGAGUGUGGUAGGGGAGACUGGAAUUCCUGGUGUAGCGGUGGAAUGCGCAGAUAUCAGGAGGAACACCAAUGGCGAAGGCAGGUCUCUGGGCCAUAACUGACACUGAGGAGCGAAAGUGCGGGGAGCGAACAGGAUUAGAUACCCUGGUAGUCCGCACCGUAAACGGUGGGCACUAGUUGUGGGAACCUUCCACGGUUUCCGCGACGCAGCAAACGCAUUAAGUGCCCCGCCUGGGGAGUACGAUCGCAAGAUUAAAACUCAAAGGAAUUGACGG
rnacentral:rRNA from 1 species